UACGUAGGGUGCGAGCGUUGUCCGGAAUUAUUGGGCGUAAAGGGCUCGUAGGCGGUUUGUCGCGUCGGGAGUGAAAUCCAUUGGCUUAACUGGUGGCUUGCUUUCGAUACGGGCAGACUGGAGGUAUGCAGGGGAGAACGGAAUUCCGGGUGGAGCGGUGAAAUGCGUAGAGAUCCGGAAGAACACCGACGGCGAAGGCAGCGUCCUGGCCGAGCACUGACGCUCAGGCACGAAAGCGCGGGAGCGAACAGG
rnacentral:rRNA from 1 species